AGAGUUUGAUCAUGGCUAAGUCGUAACAAGGUAAGUCGAAACAAGGUACUAGAGUUUGAUCAUGGCCAAGUCGUAACAAGGUAAGGAGUAAAUUGGAAUGAGAGUUAGUCCAUAGGCCAGAUAGGGAAAGGUAAAGGGAAAAUUGGGGGGCGGUAAAUUAAAUUCACCGUAUAGUGGGAAGUAUUACUUUUGAAUGGCCGUCGUUUUAUAAGCUAGUUGGUGAGGUAAAGGCUCACCAAGGCGGCGAUCAGUAGCUGGUCUGAGAGGAUGAUCAGCCACACUGGGACUGAGACACGGCCCAGACUCCUACGGGAGGCAGCAGUGGGGAAUUUUCCGCAAUGGGCGAAAGCCUGACGGAGCAAGACCGCGUGAGGGAGGAAGGCUCUUGGGUUGUAAACCUCUUUUGUCAGGGAAGAACACAAUGACGGUACCUGAAGAAUCAGCAUCGGCUAACUCCGUGCCAGCAGCCGCGGUAAUACGGAGGAUGCAAGCGUUAUCCGGAAUUAUUGGGCGUAAAGCGUCCGCAGGUGGCACUUCAAGUCUGCUGUCAAAGACCGGGGCUUAACCCUGGAAAGGCAGUGGAAACUGAAGCGCUAGAGUGUGGCAGGGGUAGAGGGAAUUCCCGGUGUAGCGGUGAAAUGCGUAGAGAUCGGG
rnacentral:rRNA from 1 species